rnacentral:misc_RNA from 1 species
UUUCCGUAGGUGAACCUGCGGAAGGAUCAUUACAGAGUUCACGCCCUCCCGGGUACAUCUCCCACCCUUGAUUUUUCAUCCCCUAGUCGCCUUGCCAGGCCGUGGACACACCAUGGGCCCCGGCUUACGCGUGACUGUCAGAGGAAACAAACCUUGUUAUUAGUGAUAUAUGAGUACCAAAAAUUAGAAAAACCUAUCAACAACGGAUCUCUUGGUUCAGGAAUCGAUGAAGAACGCAGCACACCGGUAGAGCAUACGUUCGCACUCCAGUAGCCAUUA